rnacentral:lncRNA from 1 species
CAUACUUCAUCACAAAAAUGGAAAUAACAACAAAUUAUUUCAAAACAAUAACACACAAUUGGCCAGAUAUUUUCUUUUAAAAAAAAAACAAUUAUUACAAUACUCGGUUUUGCAUCAGGAAACAUGAGCUUUGUGGCAACAGCCUAAUCUAUGAACCAUUAUUAUACAAUUCCGAAAUUAGGCACUACUAAACAUGUGGUUUACGUCUUUCCCGGCCUUUGGAUCCCUGAUUCAGCAACCAAUUUUGACUCACAAACACUUAUGGCUGCACAGGCAAAUUACUUCACACUCAAAUCCUCAGGAAAUUCUUCUUAGCAAUGAAACUGUGAUGCCUCUCGCAAACAAUUAACAAUUGGAUCGAUGAACCACUGAUUUUUGCUAUAAUUGAAUGUACAAUUUUCAUGUUUAGUAGGCAAUCAAAACAUAAUAUCAUGUGAGGAAAUCAUUUAUAUCUUAACGAAUCAAGCUCUAUUGAACAAUUAGGAUUAGAUUAUGCUAAACAAUCAACACAUUGCAAUCUGAAUUCAUAAACAUUCUGGUGAUGCUAAAGCAGGAUCGAGACAGCAAAUUCAAACAAGUAAUAGCAAGUAAACUGAAAACACAGUCACGUUUUAUUGUGAAUCAAGGAGAAAAUACAGAUUUAGAAUGUGUACCUAGACUUGAAACAAGCUAAAAUAGCCAAAUAAAGGCAAAACAGAGGAAUGGAGUUCAGCAAGUCCAGAAAAACAAAUUCAGCAGCCAAACAGCUCCUUUACAUCUUCAAAUAUCAAUGAAAUCCCAGAAACAAUGAAGUAGAAGAGCAGAAAUCGAACUAGCUUUUAAAUCCUCCUUUGGUUUCUGUUUUGGUUUUGUUUUGAGCUUUUUUUUGUGUUUUUUUUUUAUCUAGAUUUGAAUUCCAGAAAAUUGUUUCAGCUUUUGCUAGGGUGAGAUGUGUGUGAGUGAGGAAAGGAGAGUGAAAUAGGGAAUGAAAUGAAAUGGGGAGUGCGUGAGUGAGAAGUCAGAGUGAAUGGG